rnacentral:rRNA from 1 species
AACGAACGCUGGCGGCAGGCUUAACACAUGCAAGUCGAGCGCCCGCAAGGGAGCGGCAGACGGGUGAGUAACGCGUGGGAAUCUACCUAGUUCUACGGAACAACACAGGGAAACUUGUGCUAAUACCGUAUACGCCCUACGGGGGAAAGAUUUAUCGGAAUUAGAUGAGCCCGCGUUGGAUUAGCUAGUUGGUGGGGUAAUGGCCUACCAAGGCGACGAUCCAUAGCUGGUCUGAGAGGAUGAUCAGCCACACUGAGACUGAGACACGGCCCAGAGUCCUACGGGAGGCAGCAGUGGGGAAUAUUGGACAAUGGGCGAAAGCUUGAUCCAGCCAUGCCGCGUGAGUGAUGAAGGCCUUAGGGUUGUAAAGCUCUUUCAGUAGGGAAGAUAAUGACGGUACCUACAGAAGAAGCCCCGGCUAACUUCGUGCCAGCCGCCGCCGUAA